rnacentral:lncRNA from 1 species
AAAAAAAAAAAAGAUUGUAUUUUUAAGUAAUCUCUGCACCCAACAUGGGACUCAAACCCACAACCCCGAGGUCAACAGUUGCAUGCUUCACCAACUGGGCCAGCAGGUGCCCCAUGUUACGUGUAUUUUAACACACACACACACACAAAAAAAAAGGUGGGAUGCCUGGGUGGCUCAGGGGUUGAGUGUCUGGCUUUGGCUUAGGGCGUGACCCCGGGGUCCUGGGAUCAGGUCCCACGUCGGGCUCCCCGCAGGAGCCUGCAUCUCCCUCUGCCUGUGUCUCUGCCUCUCUGUGUCUCUCAUGAAUGGAUGAAUAAAAUCUUUAAAAAAAAAAAAAUUAGACUAUAGGACACUAAUGGGUGUAUACACUCCUCUGGGACAGAGUCCCAAGGCCAAGUUCUUGAAGGGGAAAUUCUGUGCCCUGCACCGUCCGGCCCAUAACAUCUGGCUGAGCCCCUCUUAAGAAACCCUGCUCUCCGAACAGGUCCCCCGGGGGAGCAAGGUCCCUGAUGGGAGCCAGGUGGGCCUCUCAGUAGGGCCCCUGCCACCUGUAGGGGAGGGGUGGGGUCAGGCCUCUAGAGCCCAGGUAGUGACAGCCUCAUGGCACCUGCACCGUCCCCAGCAGCCACUGUGGGGCGUCCAAGAGCUGUGCAUGGCGCCGCCUGCAGCUCCGGAGAGGCCCUAGGACAGAGGUUCACAGGUGCUCCGGAUAACCUUAACCGUCCACAGCACAUGCGGAUCACAAGCCAAGCUUGUGCUCUUCCUCUGCCUCCUGACUGGUGACUGGAUACAUUACUCAGCCGCCUUCUCCCGGCCGUAAAGUGAGGGAGAUGGUAGUAGAGCCGCCCCCCCCCCACAGGCCGGGGCGUCCUCACGCAACUGACGAAUAGUGCAGUGCUCAGUACGAGUGUGGCACUCGGAGCCCUCAGCACACCAGCAUCACCAUCACUGUCAUCACCACCGUCAUCAUCGUUUUCUCAUAUUGUGGCCCCAGGUCAUACGGCUGGAUUUGAAUCCUGAGCCGGUGACAGGAAGUUGCACUGGAACCACCCGAUCG